rnacentral:rRNA from 1 species
GAAGGUAAUAGUCCUGUAUGUUAAACGAGAAGACUUCAGAUAUGAUCCAGAGUACCACGGGACACGUGAAACCCUGUGGGAAGCAGGAGGGACCACCCUCCAAGGCUAAAUACUACCUAGUGACCGAUAGCGUAUAGUACCGUGAGGGAAAGGUGAAAAGAACCCCGGGAGGGGAGUGAAAUAGAACCUGAAACCCUGCACUUACAAGCUGUGGAAGCACAUUUCUUGUGUGACCGCGUACUUUUUGUAGAACGGGCCAACGAGUUACGUUAAGUAGCAAGGUUAAGCACUUAAGGUGCGGAGCCGUAGCGAAAGCGAGUUUUAACUGAGCGUUCAGUUACUUGACGUAGACCCGAAACCGGGCGACCUACCCAUGAGCAGGAUGAAGCGAAAGUAAAAUUUCGUGGAGGUCCGAACCCACGAGCGUUGAAAAGCUCGGGGAUGACUUGUGGGUAGCGGUGAAAUUCCAAUCGAGCCCGGAGAUAGCUGGUUCUCCCCGAAAUAGCUUUAGGGCUAGCCUCAAGGUGAGAGAUACGGAGGUAGAGCACUGAAUGUCCUAGGGGGUAUUGCACCUACCGAAGACUAUCAAACUCCGAAUGCCGUCAUCUUAUACUUGGGAGUCAGACUGUGGGUGAUAAGAUUCAUAGUCGAAAGGGCAACAGCCCAGAUCGUCAGCUAAGGUCCCUAAAUGUAAGUUAAGUGGUAAAGGAUGUGGGAUUGCACAGACAACCAGGAUGUUGGCUUAGAAGCAGCCACUCAUUCAAAGAGUGCGUAAUAGCUCACUGGUCGAGUGAUCCUGCGCCGAAGAUUUCCGGGGCUAAAACUUACUACCGAAGCUACGGCAUCAGUAAUGAUGGGUAGGGGAGCUUCCCAUACGGGUUGAAGCAUGACCGUAAGGACAUGUGGACAGUAUGGGAGUGAGAAUGUUGGCAUGAGUAGCGAGAUGUGGGUGAGAAUCCCACAGGCCGUAAACCCAAGGUUUCCAGGGGAAGGUUCGUCCGCCCUGGGUUAGUCGGGACCUAAGCUGAGGCCGAAAGGCGUAGGUGAUGGACAACAGGUUGAUAUUCCUGUACUACCGAUAACCGUUUGAGAGAAGGGAUGACACAGUAGGAUAAGCUAAGCACACUGUUGGUUAUGUGUGCCCAAGCAUUGAGGCAGUCAAAGUAGGCAAAUCCGCUUUGAUAAUGCUGGGAUGUGAUGGGGAGCGAAAUUUAGUAGCGAAGUAGCUGAUUUCACACUGUCAAGAAAAGUCUCUAUCGAGGUUAAAGGUACCCGUACCGCAAACCGACACAGGUGGGUGAGGAGAGUAUCCUAAGGCCAGCGAGAGAACUGUUGUUAAGGAACUCGGCAAAAUGACCCCGUAACUUAGGGAUAAGGGGUGCCACCAUCAGGUGGCCGCAGAGAAUAGGCCCAAGCGACUGUUUACCAAAAACAUAGGUUUCUGCUAAGUCGCAAGACGAUGUAUAGGAGCUGACGCCUGCCCGGUGCUGGAAGGUUAAGGGGAUCUGUUAGAGCAAUCGAAGCAGUGAACUUAAGCCCCAGUAAACGGCGGCCGUAACUAUAACGGUCCUAAGGUAGCGAAAUUCCUUGUCGGGUAAGUUCCGACCCGCACGAAAGGCGUAACGAUUUGGGCACUGUCUCAACAACAGACUCGGUGAAAUUGUAAUUCCGGUGAAGAUGCCGGAUACCUGCGACAGGACGGAAAGACCCCAUGGAGCUUUACUGUAGCUUGACAUUGGGUCUUGGUACUACAUGUACAGGAUAGGUGGGAGGCUUUGAAACCAGGACGCCAGUUUUGGCGGAGCCAUCCUUGGGAUACCACCCUUGUAGUACUGGGACUCUAACCAUAGGCCAUGAAUCUGGUCUUGGGACACUGUCAGGUGGGCAGUUUGACUGGGGCGGUCGCCUCCCAAAAGGUAACGGAGGCGCUCAAAGGUUCUCUCAGUACGGUCGGAAAUCGUACGUAGAGUGUAAAGGCAAAAGAGAGCUUGAUUGCAAGACAUACAGGUCGAGCAAGGAUGAAAAUCGGACUUAGUGAUCCGGUGGUUCUGCGUGGAAGGGCCAUCGCUCAACGGAUAAAAGCUACCCUGGGGAUAACAGGCUUAUCUCCCCCAAGAGUCCACAUCGACGGGGAGGUUUGGCACCUCGAUGUCGGCUCAUCACAUCCUGGGGCUGUAGUAGGUCCCAAGGGUUGGGCUGUUCGCCCAUUAAAGUGGUACGCGAGCUGGGUUCAGAACGUCGUGAGACAGUUCGGUCCCUAUCCGUCGCAGGCGUAGGAAAUUUGAGAAGACCUGUCCUUAGUACGAGAGGACCGGGAUGGACGUACCUCUGGUGUACCAGUUGUCCUGCCAAGGGCAUGGCUGGGUAGCUAUGUACGGAAUGGAUAAGCGCUGAAAGCAUCUAAGCGCGAAGCCAACUUCAAGAUAAGAUUUCCCACCGCAAGGGUAAGACUCCAGAAAGACUAUCUGGUUGAUAGGUCGAAGGUGUAAGUGCAGCAAUGUAUUUAGCUUAUCGAUACUAAUAGGUCGAGGACUUGACCAAUAUUUAUUUGAUGUUCAUUCAUUAAGAUAUAUGUGUAGUUUUUAGAGUGCUAACU